UACGUAGGUGGCAAGCGUUGUCCGGAUUUACUGGGCGUAAAGAGCGCGCAGGCGGUCGUUCAAGUCGUGUGUGAAAGCCCCCGGCUCAACUGGGGAGGGUCACGCGAUACUGAUCGACUCGAAGGCAGGAGAGGGUAGUGGAAUUCCCGGUGUAGUGGUGAAAUGCGUAGAUAUCGGGAGGAACACCAGUGGCGAAGGCGACUACCUGGCCUGUUCUUGACGCUGAGGCGCGAAAGCUAGGGGAGCAAACGGG
rnacentral:rRNA from 1 species